CAAGCCGGCCCUGCGGAGACAGCACGGGCGUCUGUCAGCGGGGAGCACACCUCACCUGCACCGGGACUGGCCACAGGGAUCCCAGGGACACUGACUGCCAGGACACAGCCAGCACACACUCAGGCCCUGUUGGGCGGGACACACACACCAGCUCUGCUGCGAGUCAGGAAUGUCCUGCUCCACAUGGAUGGUUCCAGGGCUUGCCUGUGUGUCUGGACAACAUGGCUUCAGGCUUGCUGGGGGUCAGAAAGGACUGACAGGGAGUUGGGAAGACAGAAGUAUCCCUGCUCCCUGCUACACCUGUGUGUUCUCUGCUCUUACUUCUUAAAGCAAGGGAAGCUGCUAGAGCAAUCAAGUUGCUGGAGGAACAGCAGAAGAACAGAGGACAGAGAAGCAGUGAAAACCAGACAACUGUGUUGCCACACAGACUGCAAACAGGGAAGAAAUGUCAUGACUAGUUUAGCAGUUUUGUUGCUGGCCAUAGCACAGAAACCACCUCUAACUGCCAGGAAACCAGGCACUGCCAGGGAAGCAGACCCGGAAGGAAGGAAGAACAGGUCAUGCCUGGACCUAAUGCUGCUUCUCUCCAUGAGGACACUGCCCUGAAGCCCAGGACUACAGAGCCACAAGGGGCUGUUCCAGGUGAUGUCCGAGCCUCAGGGGCAGGAGAGAGGGGCAGGAACAGAGGCACAGCACAAGAACCCAAGGAGCAGCCAGUAAGACCAAAGAAAGGCAAGGCUCAUGAUAUAAAGUGGGAGCAAAGUGACUGACAGAAACCUCCCUGUAUUUCUGAUGCUGGGCCUGUGCCGUGGAGAAUGAGACACGAGAGAGGCUUUUUAUUACAGAAGAGGUCAUUGUUCUCGUCUCAGGAACCCCAGACCAUGGGGGUGCAGAUGGAGGCUGAGGACUUCCCGCCCUCGGACAGCCUGGGGCCCCACGGACCCCCCGGAUUAUGGGAGCUGCACAUGGACAGGUUAGUGAUCUACAGGCAAAAGCAAUCCUGUUGGAGAAAUGCAGGCUGACGAGCAGAAGGGACUGUUCUCCAUGCUCCACGCCUGAUGGGAAAGCUGCUCUCAAGUCACACUUCAGAUGAGACACAUUUAAAGGCACACGGUGCCCAUGCACAGCACGUGUUAAACACUGGGGGCUUGUGUCUCCCUGCACAAAUCCCAACUGUCCUGCCCACGUAAUGGAGAGCAGACAUGCAAGACUAGAAAAUUGUAUUAAUGUAUUGAUUGUAUAAAGGUACUAAGUUCAAACAGUCACUCUCUGCACAAGGGUGUGGUUUCUCCCAGAAGCAGUUUUAACUCUUUUCCGUAACCUGUGAUCAGACUCAGCAGGAUGUUCACCCUGCCUUACCCCCAGGUGCAACUGGGGUGCUCCAGCCUGUGCUUGGACUGCCUGUCUCCCCAAAUUAACAGAGUUAAGAGCCUGCACUCGUUACUCAGGCUCCAGAGUUACGGAGCAUCAGUACCCUCCUGCAGGACUGUAACCACCCUCCACACCCAGGCUGAAGUCCCAAGGUUCUGCCUACUCUGCUCCCCCUCCCUCCCUCAGGGAAGCCAUGCUGGAAUGGGACCCCCGGUGACUGUGUCACACCUGCCCCUUGGGACAUGGUUAUAUUUACAGCGAGCAGGUCUCUGAGGGCAGGGAAGCCUCCCAGUAUUUUGAAAGCCACAGCUUUCCACGGGGAAGUGGAAUCAGAGAUUCCCCGCACUGAGAGGUCUCACAAUGGCCAAGCCCUAAGAGAAAAGGGAUUUGGGAAUUUUACACAGGAUUGUGGUGGUCUUUUACUUACACACUCCGAAGCGGUGAUGGUUAACGAGCUGGACAUGAAAGACUGGCCUUCCUUCAAACUCACCAGAACCUCCAGGGUUCUGCAAAGAGAGAGAGAAAAAACAUGAGCGACCGUGGAACAGUCAAGAAGGGCUCACACCUGCUCCAGAGGCUCCUGUACCUGAAGCCUCUGCUCUACAGAGAGUGUCCCCAGAGGGGAAAUGGAGGCCUGUGCUUAUUCUUGUUUGGGAGCAAGUUUGGUCUCCUUGACAGAGCUAUAUGAGUAGAGACUAUCCCUCUCCUCUUUUCCGUGCAGCAUAAAAUACUCCCAAAAGUUUUACAUAAAAUAAAUUGAAGUUCAACUGUAAAACCAGCAUUGUUUUGUCUGUUCCAUAACCGUCUCUUUAGUCACAUGCAGGCAUUAUGGAUAAAAAUGUCGGAUAAUUAUAGAUGGUCAGGACUUGCUAUAAAUAGCCCCAAACACUGCAUACAAAUGGUAUGUGGUUUACAUUUUACAAAUUAACCCUACAAGAAAACAACACAUGGUGGAUGUUAAACAGAAGAAGACUCUUCUCUGGCUUGGAUUCCCAGGAUUCAGACAGUUUAUAUUAUGCAUAGAUGUAAUUAAAUAAAAAUAUAGAUAUCCAUGAACUAAAAUGAUUAAUCAUUUAUACCAUUCUUACAUGUCAUGAGUUUUUAUUCUGGCACAAACGCUUUAGUCAAUAUGGAGUUCAAAGCUAUUUUAACUAAUUUGGCUAAUUUCUUCUUCAUUGGUAGCAAAAAUGAAGUGAGUUGCUUCCACUAAACUAAUUUUUAAAUUAUCUGUGUCAUGAAUAAUUGAUCCAACAGAAAGAAUAACUCUAAUUUCUUUCUAAUUAUUACUGGAAUAAGUGAAUCAGAACAGAUAAAAAAAAAUCAAUUCUCUUGCAGCACACUAAAUAAAACAAGCUACACCAGAAA